CCGUCGAUGAACUCCUCUCUUUCUCCUCUGUCAAACGAACUCCUCUCUCUUCUCCGCCGUCGAUGAACUCCUCUCUCUUCUCCGCCGUCGAUGAACUCCUCUCUCUUCUCAGCCUCUCACGCGGUGUCGUGACCCUUUCCUCUCGAUCUCCCUUCUUCGUAGCUCUUCUCUCUGUCCUCCUCCACGGCGCCACGGACCAGUGUUCGCCGUUGUCCUCCCGUACCACAGCUGCCGUCGUCCUUCAUCCACAAUAGCAACAUGCACCAGAAAUGGAGCCUCCGUGUCAGAAAAAAAGAUCAUCCAAUGCAGUGUAAAAGAAAGGUUUUAAUUUAAUUUUGAUGAUACUAGAAUUAUGAGAGAAGCAUGGAGGAAUGAGUCUAAUCCUGAUAUCUGCAAGCUACAUAGGAGUUCUUCAGAUGUCUUACUAUACGUCAACAAAUGCACAGAAAUACCACUCUUCCUAUUUUAAGGGUUUACUAAAAUAGAUGAUUGUCAUCAUAUUUUGUGCACAAUAAUAAAAAGAAGAAUGAUGGAGAAAAUAAUAUUUCUACCUUGCCCAAUAGUAUCAAAACAAAUCAACCAACUAUGUUUGCGAAUAUAGAUACUAAUGUAGAUAACCUACAGUUUUGAAGAAGCAAGUAUGCAGUUUAAUACAUUUACCACAUUGUAUCAAUUGCCAAGUCUUAGGUGGUGUUUAUUUGUAUUUUUCAUUUUUUUAAAUUUUCAAUGUGCAAUAAGGAACUGUAAUAUAUAAUGUAUAAUGAAUUUUAUAAAAGUAGGAUCACAUUU